rnacentral:rRNA from 1 species
AUUGAACACUGGCGGCAGGCCUAACACAUGCAAGUCGAACGAGUGGCGGACGGGUGAGUAAUGUCUGGGAAACUGCCUGAUGGAGGGGGAUAACUACUGGAAACGGUAGCUAAUACCGCAUACCAUCAGAUGUGCCCAGAUGGGAUUAGCUUGUUGGUGGGGUAACGGCUCACCAAGGCGACGAUCCCGAGCUGGUCUGAGAGGAUGACCAGCAAAACUGGAACGGAGCCACGGUCCAGACUCCUACGGGAGGAAGACGUGGGGAAUAUUGCACAAUGGGCGCAAGCCUGUUGCAGCCAUGCGGCGUGUAUGAAGAAGGCCUUCGGGUGGUAAAGUACUUGCAGCGGGGAGGCGUUACCCGCAGAAGAAGAACCGGCUAACUCCGUGCCAGCAGCCGCGGUAAUUC